rnacentral:piRNA from 1 species
UAGAAGCAGCACCAAAAGCCCUCAAUA